rnacentral:rRNA from 1 species
UUGGAGGGCAAGUCUGGAGCCAGCAGCCGCGGUAAUUCCAGCUCCAAUAGCGUAUAUUAAAGUUGUUGCAGUUAAAAAGCUCGUAGUUGAAUUUUCGGGGUUCUACCGUUGGUCGGGCAAUAGUCUGUACUGGCGUGUAGAAUUUCUACCUUCUGGGGAACUAUCAUGUUAUUUAUUUAGCGUGGUAGGAAACCAGGACCUUUACCUUGAAAAAAUUAGAGUGUUCAAAGCAGGCUUACGUCUGAAUACAUUAGCAUGGAAUAAUAAAAUAGGACGGUGGUCCUGUUUUGUUGGUUUCUGAAUCACCGUAAUGAUUAAUAGGGAUAGUUGGGGGCAUUAGUAUUCAAUUGUCAGAGGUGAAAUUCUUGGAUUUAUUGAAGACUAACUUCUGCGAAAGCAUUUGCCAAGGAUGUUUUCAUUAAUCAAGAACGAAAGUUAGGGGAUCGAAGACGAUCAGAUACCGUCGUAGUCUUAACCAUAAACUAUGCCGACUAGGGAUCGGACGAUGUUAAUUUUUCUUGACUCGUUCGGCACCUUACGGGAAAC